GGACCAGCCAAGUCAAUGUGCAUCCACUGAACCUUCUCAUCAACAAAUUUUAAGAUGUUAAAGCUGAAAACAGGCAUCUGGCUCCUUAACUAAAGCCUCAGUAAGUGAUUAUUCAUCACUGGUUGGUAAAAUUUUUCAGCCUUCCAUGGGGUUCUGGAUGAUUUACCAAGAGUUGGUCUCGUGGCACAGUCCACCAUGGUGAAUGCAUAAGCUCCAAAUCUCCCAUGCUGAAACCCCAAACCCCAUUUCCCCCUGC
rnacentral:misc_RNA from 1 species